rnacentral:siRNA from 1 species
CAGGACUAGCAGUAACGAGCCUU